CAAUAAUCUAUACUUAAUCUUUUAUUAAUUUUUGUGCUCUCUGCUCUUCUUCUUUCGUCAAUUGAAGUUUAAUCAAUUUAAGAUUGAGAUCGAAUUAUGAUACCAUUGCGGGCACUGGCAUGAGCCAUACGCAUAUGCACGCGUAUACAAUUAUACCGUCAUCGUCGUCGAGAAUUUUCUGAUUAUUGUAAUGUGCUAAGGCUAGGCCUACCAUUAUAACAGAUGAACUGUGUCGUCAACUAACUUGGUACGGUUUUCAUGGAACUCUUGCUGUAAAGGAUCUCCAUUUUCCAUCGAUAAUCAUAAGUGCUACACGAAAAAAAAUUGCAUCUACUGUAACAGAUGUACAAGAACGCAUUAAAGAUUGGUUGCGUAGACCAUCU